rnacentral:rRNA from 1 species
UACAGAGGUCUCAAGCGUUGUUCGGAUUCAUUGGGCGUAAAGGGUGCGUAGGCGGGUUUUUAAGUCAGGGGUGAAAUCCUGGAGCUCAACUCCAGAACUGCCUUUGAUACUGAAGAUCUUGAGUCCGGGAGAGGUGAGUGGAACUGCGAGUGUAGAGGUGAAAUUCGUAGAUAUUCGCAAGAACACCAGUGGCGAAGGCGGCUCACUGGCCCGGUACUGACGCUGAGGUGCGAAAGCGUGGGGAGCAAACAGG